rnacentral:rRNA from 1 species
GGCGAACGCUGGCGGCGUGCUUAACACAUGCAAGUCGAACGGUGAACCUCUUCGGAGGGGAUCAGUGGCGAACGGGUGAGUAACACGUGGGCAACCUGCCCCCGGCUCUGGGAUAACUCCAAGAAAUUGGGGCUAAUACCGGAUGUUCACCGCUUCCCGCAUGGGUGGUGGUGGAAAGGGUUUCCGGCUGGGGAUGGGCCCGCGGCCUAUCAGCUUGUUGGUGGGGUAGUGGCCUACCAAGGCGACGACGGGUAGCCGGCCUGAGAGGGUGACCGGCCACACUGGGACUGAGACACGGCCCAGGCUCCUACGGGAGGCAGCAGUGGGGAAUAUUGCGCAAUGGGCGGAAGCCUGACGCAGCGACGCCGCGUGGGGGAUGACGGCCUUCGGGUUGUAAACCUCUUUCAGCAGGGACGAAGCGCAAGUGACGGUACCUGCAGAAGAAGCACCGGCCAACUACGUG